GACAGAGGAUGCAAGCGUUAUCCGGAAUUAUUGGGCGUAAAGCGCGCGCAGGCGGUCCUUUAAGUCUGAUGUGAAAGCCCACGGCUCAACCGUGGAGGGUCAUUGGAAACUGGGGGACUUGAGUACAGAAGAGAAGAGUGGAAUUCCACGUGUAGCGGUGAAAUGCGUAGAGAUGUGGAGGAAUACCGAUGGCGAAGGCAGCCCCUGGGCCAAUACUGACGCUCGAUGCACGAAAGCGUGGGGAGCAAACAGG
rnacentral:rRNA from 1 species